rnacentral:rRNA from 1 species
CCUACGGGAGGCAGCAGUGGGGAAUAUUGCACAAUGGGGGAAACCCUGAUGCAGCGACGCCGCGCGAGUGAAGAAGUAUUUCGGUAUGUAAAGCCCUAUCAGCAGGGAAGAAAUAAAGUCCUUCGGACUUUGGACGGUACCUGACGAAGACGCCCCGGCUAACUACGUGCCAGCAGCCGCGGUAAUACGUAGGGGGCAAGCGUUAUGCGGAUUUACUGGGUGUAAAGGGAGCGUAGGCGGCAGCGCAAGGCUGGAGUGAAAACCCAUGGCUUAACCAUGGAACUGCUGUGGAAACUGUGCAGCUGGAGUGCGAGAGAGGUAAGCGGAAUUCGUGGUGUAGCGGGGAAAUGCAUAGAUAUUAGGAGGAACACCGGUGGCGAAGGCGGCUUACUGGACUGUAACUGACGUUGAGGCUCGAAAGCGUGGGGAGCGAACAGGAUUAGAUACCCCUGUAGUC